rnacentral:rRNA from 1 species
UACGUAGGGCGCAAGCGUUAUCCGGAAUUAUUGGGCGUAAAGAGCUCGUAGGCGGUUUGUCGCGUCUGCUGUGAAAGACCGGGGCUCAACUCCGGUUCUGCAGUGGGUACGGGCAGACUAGAGUGCAGUAGGGGAGACUGGAAUUCCUGGUGUAGCGGUGAAAUGCGCAGAUAUCAGGAGGAACACCGAUGCGAAGGCAGGUCUCUGGGCUGUAACUG